rnacentral:rRNA from 1 species
GAUGAACGCUAGCUACAGGCUUAACACAUGCAAGUCGAGGGGAAACGACAUCGAAAGCUUGCUUUUGAUGGGCGUCGACCGGCGCACGGGUGAGUAACGCGUAUCCAACCUGCCCAUCACUUGGGGAUAACCUUGCGAAAGUAAGACUAAUACCCAAUGAUAUCUCUAGAAGACAUCUGAAAGAGAUUAAAGAUUUAUCGGUGAUGGAUGGGGAUGCGUCUGAUUAGCUUGUUGGCGGGGUAACGGCCCACCAAGGCAACGAUCAGUAGGGGUUCUGAGAGGAAGGUCCCCCACAUUGGAACUGAGACACGGCCCAAACUCCUACGGGAGGCAGCAGUGAGGAAUAUUGGUCAAUGGGCGAGAGCCUGAACCAGCCAAGUAGCGUGCAGGAAGACGGCCCUAUGGGUUGUAAACUGCUUUUAUAAGGGAAUAAAGUGAGAGUCGUGACUCUUUUUGUAUGUACCUUAUGAAUAAGGACCGGCUAAUUCCGUG